rnacentral:tRNA from 1 species
AUUGCAGUAGCCGAGUGGUUAAGGCGAUAGACUAAAAAUCUAUUGGGAUUUUCCCCGCGAUGGUUCGAAUCCUGCCGACGACG